AAGUGCCAGUCCCAAAGCACUCGGGGAGGGUGCCCGGAAACCGCCGCAGCUUGGCGAUCGCCGCUGAGAUGCUGGGGCGUGCCACUGUGCCUGCCAGCAAGAUGGGGCCCCGCACUUACGAGACAUGACCUCGGGGACGCCUACUGUGGAGACCAACAACUGCAGGAAGCUCUGGAUGGACUUGGAGCUCUGUCGAUCAGAGGCCCAUGGUCUGAAAUGACCAAUCACCAAGACUUUCGCAAAUCGCUUCCAUCCUCCACCUCCAAAGCAUAGCCAUCCUUCAGGAGAGCUGAGGCGUCCUCUGCAAGCAGCCGGAUGUGUUUGCAUUUUCACACUCUGGAGAUCCAGGACCCUGGAUAGCUGCAUCUCCAGGACUGUUCCCUUGGUCAGGAGCCCCAGCAUUAAGAACAAGCAGAGAUUGUGGGCCUCCUCGGGCAGUGGACGGUGACUGUGCCGGGGCUAGUGAGGAAGCCACUUAACAGCUGUGGAGAGACGGGGAUCCCAUGGAACAGAAGAAACCAUCAGAAGGGCUGUGGUUACUGCCCUCGGAGGCUAGAGGGAUCAGACUGGCUAGAGUCCCGGCUCUGAUCAGGAACUGGAUUCAAGCAGAGAGCCAAACACACCUGGACUCUACCAGCAAAGCCCAGCAUUCGUUCUAGAAUCCCCAAACGAAGCGUGCAAUUACAAUUAGAGUAUGUGAAAGGGGAGAGGGACCAGGCCCAGGGUACAAGAGUCUUGGACAAAGGAUCUGACUUAGACCAGGAGGUGGGAGAGGCCCACCCCAUAGACGGAAAAGAAUCAGAUGGGGGAGGGGGGAGGGAGGACGGAAGAGCCAGCAAAGGCCCUGUGGGUUGAGCUUUGCUCAAGCAAGGAAGGCAGGGGGCAGAUCAGCUGAGCAGAGCUGCAGAACCGGCAGCCAAUGGGACUGGGCCAGCAGCUUCUCCCAAAUGCACCACUAGGCCAGUGAGUGCCCCAAAUAAGAAUCUUUACCUAACACAAAACUGAACUCAAUCCUAGGUUCUGGAGACAGGCUUUCUGGGGACCCAGCUGAGAAGUGAAGCUGGGACUCAGCUGAGGGGUGAAGCUGUACGCAGCGAAGCCCCGGGACACCGUAGAGGGUAUGGCACUGAGGUGCGCGUCCCUGAGCUUUGGUGUUCUCUGAAAUCGGUGAGGUGUACAGCUGGGAGCAAGACAUUUCCUGUCUGUGGAAGAAAUACUGAGACUACCCUCACCAAAGGAAACCACAUGGAGGAAACCACAUGGAGGUUCAAGUGGCGUAGAGGUACAGACAAGAAGGGCCCAAGCGUGGUGGUGAACACUUGCAAUCCCAGCGGCAGCAAGGUCAAAAACCGGAGAGCAGCCUCGGCUACAUGCAAAAUUUGAGGCUAGCACGAGCCUUCCCUAUGGUGAAGCCCUGUCCUCAGACAACAGCAGCGACGAUAGUAGCCACACCGGAAGUAAACAGAGCAAAGCGCAAUCCGUGAAAGCCAGGAUUGAAGGAUGCAUUUGUGAUUCUGUCUGGCAAGGUGCAGGACUUCCUGAGCUGAACAUUUAACAUAAAUACAUACCGCAUCAUGCUUUCCCCCUCAAUUUACAGAACCAAGCCUCGUCUGGCCUGGGUUUGACUUACUUUGCUCAAGGAGAUUUAUGUAUGCUUUGUUGCUGCGCGUGGAAUUGAGUUAAAUUAAUUAGCAGCAGAAUAGUUUCCACUAGAUUGUGCUACGCUUGAAGAUGCCUAAAAUAAACCCUCAGGGACAGAUACCAGAAGUUUGUACCAACACCGGCUACUGAGUUGUGUUGAACUGAACUGUCUCCUUGCCUCCCGCGGCUCAUCUCUCUGCAGGCUGUUCCUGUUGAGGUUGCAGAGACCCCUACAGUAGCUGGGCCUGGGGUUGGGAAUGGGAACCAAGAGAAGUGGACAGACUAACUCUACAGUAGCGUGGAUGUCAUGAUGGCGCUUUGGGGUGGGGAUGAGGGAGGACAAAUCAGAGGUUUGCCUGUGUUCUGAGUUGCAUCUCUGGAAGGAAGAAGCAGCCUAGGCUGGGAAGGAAAGACAGGAAUUUCAGAAAGGAAGAGCUGUCACUGCUAGGCCUGGAAGACACCCAAGGAGGAGCAGGAAGGAGGGGGUGAGUUGGGACAGCAGCAGAAGGGAGCUCUGAUGGGGCCACUCUGGGAGAAGCAGUUACAGAGAGUUGCUGAGUUUGUGGAAAGGGAGGUGGCGGGAAGCUGGGAGAGCUCCUGGAAAAUUUAGGGUGGUGUGAAAAUACCCAAGCAACCACCACAGUGGGUGGGUGAAGUGGGAUUUCCCUCUGUAUGCUGUGAUUACCAUUAAUGAAUAAAGAAACUGCUUUGGACCUAUAGCAGGGCAGAACUUAGCUAGGUGGGGAAAACUAAACUGAAUGCUGGGAGAAAGAAGGGUGGAGUCAGAGAGAAGCCAUGUAGCCCCACCAGAGCCAGACUUUACCCAGUAAGCCACUGCCACAUAGCAAUACACAGAUUAAUAGAAAUGGGUUAGAUUAAUAUGUAAGAGUUAGCCAGUAAGAAGUUAGAGCUAAUGGGUCAAGCAGUGAUUUAAUUAAUACAAUUUCUGUGUGAUUAUUUUGAUUCUGGGUGUCCAGAAUGAACAAGCAACCUCCCUCCAACAGGUGGGGAGUGAGUCCAUGAAAAGGCUGGAGGAGUUUACCCAGACAGGGCUUUGGUCCCUUCAAGAUUAGGGCCUUGCCUUGAGAAACAGGUUUAUAGAUAUCAUCACCGCUCAGCAGAGGGAAAGCUGUGACGUUCAGAGAGCACACUCUGAGGCUGGGUCCAGAGUCAGUAGUGAGUAGUCACAGCCUAAUGUCCAGGCCCCCUGAGAGAGCCUGGCGCUAAUCCUGGGUUCCACCCUCCACCCUCUACCCUGUGGACUCGGUAUGAGCAGGGGUACGGGGUAUAAUCUUUAGAGUCAUCAUGGCUCACAGGCUGCCCUGUCAUUCACUAGGCUGUCCAGUGGGAGAAUGGCACUCAGAACAACGUCUGGCUCUCAGGGCUCUACGAAGUUCCAAAUGAGAUGAUAGGUAGACAGCCUUAGCUCAGACUGGACACCCAGGAGCUUGUCCUUGCUCAUAUGUGUGUCCCCAUUGCUGAGACUGGCUGGGGAUAGGGGAGCUCCUGAAGUAGGGGCAGGGUCGGGGUGCAUAAG